CUUUUCUUUUCUCUUUCUUUCUUCUUCCUUCUUCUUCUCUGUUCUUUCUCAUUCCUUCUCUGCCGAUAUCAGUUCAGAAGAACUGAGUUAUCUUUGUGUGUGAAAUUCAUAGAAAAUUAGGUAGCUUGAUGAAUCGAAGAAGAUGAAGUUAUAAUUGGGGUUGUUCAAGCUUCAGGAGAAGAAGAAGGUGAUGUUAAUCUUGAAUUGAAGUUAGGGUUUCUGAAGUUAGGGUUCGUGUAGAACUGAUGAUGAUAUAUUGUUGCUAAUGGAUGAAGAACUGAGGGGUUACUAUUGAUUUGAUGAAGUGAAGCUGUUCUGAUGAUGAAUCGAAUAGAAAAGUUACUCUUUAUUAACGAUCGAAUCAAACGAUGAACUAGUGGAUUGUAGAUCUCGAGGUAGGCGUGGCUUGUCAUCUAAUCAGUUUCAGUAUUCAGAAGAAAAGGCGCACGUGAAGAUAUUCGUUUCCGUAGCGUAAAGUUUCAGCGAAUUGAAGAUGUUUAUUUAUAUUUUAUAUAUGUAUAAUUUCUCUGUAAACAACACAUGGUUAUAUUUGUAUCACAUGAGAGAUCUUCAUUUAUACUUAUCAGAGUGUAUGGGUUUUUUGCUUUUAUACUUAGCUUACGUAGUCUAGAUUCUUAAGAUCGUUAGUCUAGAUUUUAUGCUUCAAUUAGUUUGUAAUCCUACUAGCUAAGCAGGUUUAGUACUUGGGGCAUCACAAAUAAAGUUUGUAUUAAUUAUUAUUCAUAUUUAAUUAAUCGAAUCAUUAGCGAUUAAA